rnacentral:rRNA from 1 species
GACGAACGCUGGCGGCGUGCCUAACACAUGCAAGUCGAGCGAGUGGAGUUCUUCGGAACAAAGCUAGCGGCGGACGGGUGAGUAACACGUGGGCAACCUGCCUCAUAGAGGGGAAUAGCCUCCCGAAAGGGAGAUUAAUACCGCAUAAGAUUGUAGCUUCGCAUGAAGUAGCAAUUAAAGGAGCAAUCCGCUAUGAGAUGGGCCCGCGGGGCAUUAGCUAGUUGGUGAGGUAACGGCUCACCAAGGCGACGAUGCGUAGCCGACCUGAGAGGGUGAUCGUCCACAUUGGGACUGGGACACGGCCCAGAAUCCUACGGGAGGCGGCAGUGGGGAAUAUUGCACAAUGGGGGAAACCCUGAUGCAGCAACGCCGCGUGAGUGAUGACGGCCUUCGGGUUGUAAAGCUCUGUCUUCAGGGACGAUAGUGACGGUACCUGAGGAGGAAGCCACGGCUAACUACGUGCCAGCCGCCGCCGUAAAAC